ensembl:lncRNA
ACAUGUAGUAUUCACCGGACAGAAAGUGCACCAAUAGGUCAAAGCCACCCUGUGGCGGAAAUUAGGUACUUCAUGCAUUACAUUAUAGACCCUUUUACUGUUUUGAUUACGUAAAACGUAUGCGCGCGCAUUUUGGCAACUGAAGUAUGGCGGAGAUCAACAGCUUGUCAAGCUAUGCAAGGGAAUUAUCCACACAAGAUCGCGAAUUGUACUUCAACAAGUUGAAUUUGACAAAUGGUGUCCGACUUUAAGAUCUGUGUACUAUUAAUGAGUGGGUUGAAGAAGACGUCAGCAAGUGGCCGAAUAUACAGUGGCCAGCUAUAUAUACGUAUUUAAUAGAGAAAUCCAGCGUGUACACCAGAGAGAAAUUACGGGCAUAUAAAUCACUGGAUACUUAUGAAUACCUUGUCUGUGGUCAUGUACAGAACUUCAAAUACCAUGACAUAGACUCUUGAGGUUUGUGUGAUGGAAUCAGAAAUCCUCCCUAGUCGAAGACAAGGACACAAGACAACGAUGUAUGAGGCUUGGGUUAUAAUCAACCAACGAGAAAACGACGUCCUCACAGCGAAUUGCACCUGUAUGGCGGGUGUUGACAGAUGAUGACAUCCGGGAACUGCAGGUUGUGGACCCAGGUGUUGCAGUGCUGACAAGCCUGGAAAAUAGUGACCCGCUCACUGCAUCAUCUGACCCUGAUUCAGAGGAGCUUCCAGACUUCCAAUACCACUUCAUGGGCUGUGAACCAACCUGACCUGAUACUCACAAGGUCCUGUGGCGCCCUCCGUCCCCCCGCUGCCUGGGUCUGACCACCACUCUGUUGCUGUUUCUCUCCUCUUGAAGUCCUCCCCCUCAGAUCCACUCUACUCUACUGAAAGCUCGCCCUCCCUCUACGUUCGCCUCACCUGUUCUCUACCUUCUGUCAGACGAUUCGCUCUACUAUCCAUCGAGGAAUCCUCUGACACUAUGCAAUCCUCCCUCCCCCUCUUUGGACUCCCUCUGUCCCUUCGAAUCCAGACCAGCAUGAUUUCCCCCCGACGAAAGGGAAGAGAUCAGACUGUUCUUAUGAUCUAUCUCUGUCACGUCUGCUGCUAACGUUGAGGACCCAAAAUGCACGACACAAAGAUUAGUUUCAAAACGACAGGUUUUACUCACGGAUACAUAAAACACGAGGCACAAGGUGCAUGCCAACAGAAACAAUGAUCGAGCAAGGAACUGAACCAAGGCAACGACUUAAAUGCACAUGAUUAAAAGACACAGGUGGGCAGGGAACAAGGUAGCACAUUGGACAAGACAACAAUCAACCUCAAACUAAUAACUUGACCCAGGUGGGCAGGGAACAAGGUAAUGAUGAGGACGGUAGGCGGGACUCAGAUGAGGGGCGGAGACACAGAAUCACAAGACAAGAGAAACCAAACUGAAGCACAUGGAAGACUACAAACAAACACAGGAAGUUCAAGCCCAGGAGAUACCACUGGAAAAACCAACAUAAAAGUCCAACACAUGAAACACAAACCCAGAACCCUAACAGUAAUCCUGACAAUCUCACUAUCUUCACCUUCUCUCAGAUUUCACCUCCUCCCCUACCCUCCCUCCCUCACUGCUGAUGACUCCGUUGCCUACUUUACCCAGAAGGGGAAGGACCUUAGCUCCUCUUUUACCCCUGCCACCACCCUCCCUCCGCCCCCCCCCCCACCUCUGUCUUUACCCACUUUAUCCCUCCCUCCUCCGAAGGGGUCAAUAGAAUAGUUACGUCCAACCUCGCCACCACCUACCCCUUGACCCUACCCCUUCCUCACUGCUCCAGGCCGUCUCGAGAGACAUCCUAGCAAUUCCCUCCUCCCUUAUCAACUCCUCCCUCACUUCAGGCAUUGUUCCAGCGUCUUUCCAUUCUGCCACAAUAAAGCCUCUCAAGAAGCCGACCCUUGACACCACCGACAACCAGAAGUUCAGCAGCGUUCGACACCGUGAACCACCAGAUCCUUCUCACCACUUUCGCCGAACUUUGCAUUGCUGAAUUUGCACUAUGCUGGUUCACAUCCGAAUCGCACCUAUCAGGUAACAUGGAAUGGCUCCUUGUCCAAACCCUGCACGCUUUAACACGGCUUCUCAUCUCCCUCUAUAUCACAUCUCUGGGCUCUGUAAUUACAUCAUACGACUUUUCCUAUCACUGCUACAUUGACAACACUCAGCUAUUCCACUCUUUCCCCUGCUCUGAUGAAACCCUGAUUGCAAAAUGCAUAUCAGAAUUUCUAGCAGACGUCAACACUCUGACAACUGCCCAUCAAAUGAGGCUUAACCUCAACAAGACUGAGCUCCUCCUAAUGCCAGGGAAAGAUUGCCCACAUAUGGACAUACUGGUCACUGUCGAGAACAUCACUGUAUCUCCUUGUCCACCUGCUAGAAACCUCGGUGAGGUACUGGACAAUCAGUUAUACUGCACCGCAAACAUCACCACGGUUGCCUGAUCCUGCAUAUUUGCACUUAACAACAUCUGCAGGACCUGGCCCUUCCUCACAAGUUCCAGCGUAUCCACACACGUAUGGUCAGACCACACACGCCUGCGCGAGCGCUCCGAUGAACCUCAGCUGGACGUCUGGUACCGCCAUCGCUAAUCGCUAAUCGCCAUCGCUAAUAGCAGACAAAGGUCGAUCAGCGAAGACACAACUCUUCUCUGUUUUGGCACCGCAGUGGUGGAACGAGCUCCCUGCCAACGUCAUCACCGCAGAGUCGCUCACCAGCUUCCGCAAAAGACUCAAAACUCACCUGUUCAGAGUUCACCUAGACUCUGCAUAGUCAUCCAGUCCCCCCCUCCCACUAUUGUAUGUUGUACGUCCUCGCACUUAAUGUAUGCACUUAAUGUACGUUGUAUUAUUCAUAGUACUACCGGUAAAUGUGUAGCAUCGGCAGUAGCUAGCUAUCACUGCUGUAUAUGUGAAAUGGGUCAGCCUAGCGAUUGUUAGUACUAGGUUCUAUGAACAUCCUUACUAUACCGACAGAGAUAUAUUGUUGUUUCACUUCUUAUGACAAAUUGUAAGGCUCUUUCGAUAAAAGCGUCUGCUAAAUGUAAAUGUUAAUUUAAUGCUCCAAAGGGUCGCCGAGGAUGAGGAGAUCCGCCCUGACCCAAAUUUAUAGAACUCAAGAAACAAAGAAAAGGGAAUCCUAGCAGAAAGACUUUGGCCUCUACAGAUCAGGGCCCGGUUUCCCGAUUCCCGGUUUCCGCGCUACAAAAACUCCUACAUUUAGACUUAUCAAAGCUGUUUACCUCGAUGGGCGUGGUUCCUGAAUGGUCUCUUAGGAGUUUUCUUAAGAAACACUCCUUACGUUGUUCGUAAACGGCGCUGUCCAGAAAGAAUGUGCUGAAAUCAAUUGCUCAGACAUCAAUUUUCCAUUUCAUGCGCAGGUACAUGACAGUGUCCUAAAAGAUAUGUCAGUCUUUGCAAAUACAACAUAAUUGCUCAAAAUCCUUCUUGUAGGCCAUGGGCAAACAUAGCAUAGCCUACACUGAUUUAAAAAAUAUAUAGAAAAAUUUACAAUUUGAAAUGAAAGCUAAAUUUUUAAUCGUUUAUUUAGCUUAUUAUAUAAUACUGUUGUAUGCUGAGACUGCUUUGCUUUUUGUUACCUGUAGUGGUCUGUGUGGGGUUUUGCUAAAUGUAAAGGGAAAGAGGCGGUGGUUGAAAAAAGUAUUUUGACCCCUUAUUACAUUCACUUGUUCCUUAUAAUGGUUUAUUUAUUACCCAGUAUAAUUUCCUUAAUUUAGAAGACAGUUUGGUUCAUUUUUGAUUUAUAAAAUGAAUACAAUAUUUUUUUGAAGUUGCGUGUUUUUGAAAUUAUUGGAAGCAAGUGGAGCUGACUGCGCCUUGCUGUACUCACGGCGAAACAAAGAACAACGAGACAACAUCCUUAUUAAAAUAAGUUGUUUAAUUUGGCCCCAAUUGGCUACGGAUGCGAACUGUUUCCCGGAACCUUCUUAAAGCCUUCUUAACGCUACAUCAUUCGUAACCUCUUCUUUAAGUUCUUCACUUGUUUCCCGAAACGUUCUUUGCUACGAAUCUCUUUCGUACGUCGUUUGUUGAUAAGGUUGGUCUGAAGCGCUCACAGAACCUGGUCAGCUGUACCGUAGUGAUGGUUCAGCUCCAGACGCUAGCCUGGUUAGGUGGGUCUGAAGCGCUCACAGAACCUGGUCAGCUGUACCGUAGUGAUGGUUCAGCUCCAGACGCUAGCCUGGUUAGGUGGGUCUGAAGCGCUCACAGAACCUGGUCAGCUGUACCGUAGUGAUGGUUCAGCUCCAGACGCUAGCCUGGUUGGGUGGGUCUGAAGCGCUCACAGAACCUGGUCAGCUCUACCAUAGUGAUGGUUCAGCUCCAGACGCUAGCCUGGUUAGGUUGGUCUGAAACGCUCACAGAACCUGGUCAGCUGUACCGUAGUGAUGGUUCAGCUCCAGACGCUAGCCUGGUUAGGUGGGUCUGAAGCGCUCACAGAACCUGGUCAGCUCUACCAUAGUGAUGGUUCAGCUCCAGACGCUAGCCUGGUUAGGUGGGUCUGAAGCGCUCACAGAACCUGGUCAGCUGUACCGUAGUGAUGGUUCAGCUCCAGACGCUAGUCUGGUUAGGUGGGUCUGAAGCGCUCACAGAACCAGGUCAGCUCUACCAUAGUGAUGGUUCAGCUCCAGACGCUAGUUGCCGCAGCUGUACCUUUAGAGUCCCCGUAGCGCACGGAGCUGACACAUUGACGUGUUGUGUUUCACCAAUGGUUUUACGUCAUUCAUGAAGAGAAUAAUUGCUGGAAACAAAAUAUUAUGUGCAUGCAUUUCAAGGCUAAGCUUUAGCGGCCUAUUCAACAUCAAAAGUAGCCCAGGUGUAUUAUCAUGUCAUUUAAUUAGCCCAUUUAGGCCUAGUCAAUGUCAAGGCAUGCACAAUUCUGCAAGCAAUUUGUGAAAUUUGAAAAUUGACGAACAAUUAGGCUCUGAGUGGCUACGAUUUCAUGAAUGGACGCCGGUGACGGUUGUGAAUGGUGGCAGCGUAACAACGCAUCCUUGUGCUGAAUCAACGACGUCGCCGUCCUCGGAGUCGUUUAGUUCAAGUAAAUCAUUUGAUAAGGCUAAAAUUUUGGCAUAUUGAUAUCGUAACAGACACGGCUAUAUUGUAAAAGUUUUGCCUAUAAUAGCAACAAAUACGGCAAUUGAUUAAUUUGAUUGGGCCUACGCUUGCAAGACCAACGUGUCAGAACUUGUCACUGACUCCUGGCAGCGCUGCGUUCUUCCGCAGUAGGGAGCAUGAUAUAAGAUAUGGCCUUGGGCUAAGUAAGGCUUCUGUGUGGAGAUGUGUCCAUGUGGUCACAAACGCCCUUUUCCGCCACACCAGGGAUUUCAGGUGGUGGUCGACCACAGAGGGCUCAUCCUCGACCUGGUGGCGAGGUGGCCUGGCAGCACCCGUGAUAGGGUUAGGGUUAGCUUUGUCUGGGCCCGUUCCGCGGGGGGCGAGGAGGUGGACAGGUGGGUUUGGCCAGAGUGUAGUCCUUUGGGACAGUGGCUCCCCCCUCCGAACCUACUUUAUGACCCCUGUUACCAUUCCGCGAAACAUUCUAAUGCCCCGCAUAUACAAACCCGCCUAAUUGUUGAGCGGACAAUUGGUAGACCUGGUAGACCCGCCCAUUCUGCCGGCGAUUUGAGUUUGCCCUGCAGAAGGGUCUUGAGAAGAGCAAUACAUUUCUUUCCAGUUUCUAUACGUUUUUGCGGGAGACAAUCACCAAGUUGGCUUUUCCCCCUGGCGUGCUAUUGGCGAGUUUAACACAAUGUCGACAGGGAAGCGACGGCAAGCAGCCAACUGCAUACAGUCAUUUGAACUUGAUCUUGAGACCAAGCUCAAGAUUGAGCUUGGUCUGGGGAAGCUGCUGUCAUUUUCUUCAGCACAAGAGGCGUGAUCAAUGGGCCUAGUUCGCAGUUGGCUGUUUGCCGUCGCUUAGUCGCUUGUCUAGCCAGGCUAGACACCUGGUCUAUGGAAGCUGCGCUUUCGGUGCCUUAACAGGUCCACAGGGACAGUGCAUGAAGCGCAGUAAUGGUGGUGACCGCCAUGCUCCACAACAUGGCAGUUCGAGGAGGACGAUGAGGAAGGGGAAGAGGAAAUUGGUGUCCCCAGGCCUCCCCGGCCGCACUAGGCGCUGCCGGGGUUGCUGCAAGCCAUUUAAGGAUUGCAAAUGUUUUUGUUUUAGGCUACUCUCAUAGUAGAUGUUAACCAUUGGCACACUAGACUGAAAUACAUCAGUAAUUUAUUGAGUUUGCUGGUCACUCAGCUCUGAUUGCAAAGCAGUUAGACACUAUUAAAAAACAUACGGUAUGCUACAACAUUUUGUCCAAGUAGCCUAGGUGUUUGAACAGUUAAUGGAAGGAAGUGAUGGGUGGCGUAGCAGGAUAGACAUGCAGGAUGGCAGGAUAGGCCAAGUUGCUUAAUUGUUCAUUCCAAGUUUGCAUCCGUAGCCAAUCGAGGCCAAAUGAAGCAGCAUGUUUGAAUUCAGGAUGUUGUCAUGGCUGCUCUUUGAUUGGGCCCUGGGUACAGUACGGAGAGGUCAGCUGCUCUUUGAUUGGGCGGUGGGUACAGUAAGGAGAGGUCAGCUGCUCUUUGAUUGGGCGGUGGGUACAGUAAGGAGAGGUCAGCUGCUCUUUGAUUGGGCGGUGGGUACAGUACGGAGAGGUCAGCUGCUCUUUGAUUGGGCGGUGGGUACAGUAAGGAGAGGUCAGCUGCUCUUUGGGUUAGCUCAAGCAGGGGGCCCCAGACUUCCCUUUCCCGGGCCACAUUGACCAGCUCUGACGGGGGGAUCCUGAGGCAUUCCCAGGCCAGUGUUGAGAUAUAAUCUCUCCACCUAGUCCUGGGUCUUCCCCGAGGUCUCCUCCCCACUGGACGUGCCUGAAACACCUCCCAAGGGAGGCGCCCAGUGGGCAUCCUUACCAGAUGCCCGAACCACCUCAGCUGACUCCUUUCUAAGUAAAGGAGCAGCGGCUCUAAUCCGAGUUCCUCACGGAUGGCUGAGCUUCUCACCCUAUCCCUAAGGGAGACGCCCUUCUGAGAAAACUCAUCUUGGCCGCUUGUACCCGCAAUCUCGUCACAUCUCAUCACCCAACCCUCAUGACCAUAGCUGAGGAUAGGAACGAAGAUCGACCGGUAGAUCGAGAGCUUUGCCUUGCGGCUCAGCUCUCUUUUCAUAACAACGGUGAGGUAAAGCGAACGCAAUACCGCCCCCGCUGCUCCGAUUCUCCUGCCAAUCUCACGCUCCUUCGUACCCUCACUCGCGAACAAGACCCCGAGUUACUUGAACUCCUUCACUUGGGCUAAGGACUCAUUUCCUACCCGGAGUAAGCAAUCCACCGGUCAUGGCCUCAGAUCCUCAUCCCAGCCGCUUCACACUCGGCCGCCAGCCGAUCCAGUGAGUGCUGAAGGUCACAGGCCGAUGAUCCAAUGAGGACCGAAUCACCUGCAAAAAGCAGUGACGAGAUCCUCAGACCACCGAACUGCAACCCCUCCCCACCACGACUACGCCUCGAUAUCCUGUCCAUGUAUAUCACAAACAGGAUUGGUGACAAGGCGCAGCCCUGGCGGAGACCAACACCCACUGAGAACGAAACUGACUGGCUGCCGAGGACGCGAACACAGCUCUCGCUUUGGGAGUACAAAGAUUGGAUGGCCCUGAGGAUAGACCCCCUUACCCCAUACUCCCGCAGCACCUCCCACAGUUUCUCCUGGGGGAUCCGGUCAUACGCCUUCUCCACAUCCACAAAACACAUGUAGACCGGAUGGGCAUACUCCCAGGAGUGAAGAGCUGGUCCGUAGUUCCACGUCCGGGGUGAAAACCGCAUUGUUCCUCUUCAAUCUGAGGUUCUCCGUACAUAAUAAAUAUAUAUAAAUAUGUAUGUAUAUACAUACAUAUAUU